rnacentral:rRNA from 1 species
GUUUCAAGGACUAAGCCAUGCAAGUGCCAGAGUAACUGGAUUGAUAGGAGGUCUGCGUACGGCUCAUUAAACGGUUUAUUAUCUACCCAGCGUCGGGGGUGGAAACGCCUUCCUAUGGAUAACUCCGUUAACGCGGAGCUAAUACACGUACGAAGAAACCUGCUCCGUUGAGCUUGCUUGGGGUAACCUGGGUGAGUGGGGUGGGUUGCAAUUGGCCGGAACAAAACCAACGCCCGUUCUGCGGGCAGCGAGAACUGUUGAGGCAGGCCAAUCAUGCAAAAGCGCAUACCUUCGGGUGGCGCGUUGCUGGACGAAUUUACCACCUAUCAGGCUGUUGGUAGUGUAGUGGACUACCAAACCGGUGACGGGUAACGGGGAAUUGGGGUUCGAUUCCGGAGAGGGUGCCUGAGAGAUGGCAACCAUUGCUACGGUGAGCAGCAGGCGCGCAAAUUGCCCAAUGCCGACUCGGUGAGGCAGCGACGAAAAAUAACAACUCCGGCGGCUUCUAGCCACGG